rnacentral:rRNA from 1 species
GAUGAACGCUAGCGGCAGGCCUAACACAUGCAAGUCGAGCGGGAAGUUACUUUCGGGUGGCUGUGACCGGCGUACGGUUGCGUAACGCGUAUACAAUCUGCCUUUCACUGGUGGAUAUCCCGAAGAAAUUUGGAUUAAUACCCCAUAGUAUAUAUGCACGGCACCGUUUUUAUCUUAAAGCCUUGGUGGCGUACGAUGAGUAUGCGUUCUAUUAGCUAUUUGGAGAUGUAACGGCUCCCCAAGGCGAUGAUCGAUAGGGGUUAUGAGAGGGAUGUCCACCAGACUGGUACUGAGAUACAGACCAGACUCGUACGGGAGGGAGCAGAGAAGAAUAUUAGACGAUGGUCGGUAGACUGAUCCAGCCGUGCCGGGUGCAGGAGGAAGGGCUUAUGGAUUGUAAACUGCUGUUGUAAAGGAGGAAUAAGGGAUACGCGUAGUUUGAUGACGGUACCUUACGAAUAAGCACCGGCUAACUCCGUG